UACGAAGGGGGGCUAGCGUUGCUCGGAAUUAUUGGGCGUAAAGGGUGCGUAGGCGGUUUGGUAAGUCUUGUGUGAAAUCUACAGGCUCAACUUGUAGUCUGCACGAGAAACUGCCGGGCUUGAGUAUGGGAGAGGUGAGUGGAAUUUCCGGUGUAGCGGUGAAAUGCGUAGAUAUCGGAAGGAACACCUGUGGCGAAAGCGGCUCACUGGACCAUAACUGACGCUGAUGCACGAAAGCUAGGGGAGCAAACAGG
rnacentral:rRNA from 1 species